AUAACGCGCGCUCUGAUUGGUUCACCACCUAUGAAGAAAAAAUGUAUGGAGAACUCGUAUGGAGCACCUGGUGAGGUCAAUUUGGUGAAAAUUCUGAGAAAAUUGCAAGCAUUCAGAUAAAACUAAAAAGACUACUAACUGGUCUACCUUUCUGUACAUUUAAAGCAUGUGUCAAUCACAGGCUCUAUGAAUAGCGAAUUURAUUGCACAACAGUCCAUAAUUCUUUUGGAAGCACAAUUAAAAGCACAACUCAUCUAUCAAGGACUGCUUUGCAUUAAAGAAGCUUAAAGAAUGGCCAAGAAAAUUCUGUUGAUAUUGGUAUUGUGCAUGGUCUCGGUUUUCCUGUCGAAUGGCGUGAUAGGUAAGGUUGGAUUUGUAGCAUCAGUACUACAGUAAACAUAUGGCCAG